GUGAGGAAUAUUGGUCAAUGGGCGAGAGCCUGAACCAGCCAAGUAGCGUGCAGGAUGACGGCCCUAUGGGUUGUAAACUGCUUUUACACGGGGAUAAAGUGUGCGACGUGUCGUUCAUUGCAGGUACCGUGCGAAUAAGGACCGGCUAAUUCCGUGCCAGCAGCCGCGGUAAUACGGAAGGUCCGGGCGUUAUCCGGAUUUAUUGGGCGUAAAGGGCGCGUAGGCGGUCAUUUAAGUCAGCUGUGAAAUGGUUUGGCUUAACCGGAUCAUGCGGUUGAAACUGGAUGACUGGAGUGCUGGAGAGGCAAGUGGAAUUCCCAGUGUAGCGGUGAAAUGCUUAGAUAUCACGAAGAACUCCGAUUGCGAAGGCAGCUUACUGUAGCGCCACUGACGCUGAAGCUCGAAAGUGCGGGUAUCGAACAGGAUUAGAUACCCUGGUAGUCC
rnacentral:rRNA from 1 species